rnacentral:rRNA from 3 species
AGACCCUAUCGAGCUUUACUGGAUACCAAUAGCGUUAAUUUAGUAUGAUCGGUACUAAGUAUUCUAAUUUUAAGUUAAUAAUUUUUGUUGGCAGGACAGUUUAGUUGGGGCGACUACCUCUGAAUAGGAAACGAAGGCGAGCUUAUGGUGUUAUUAAAAUCUCAUUAGCCUGACAGUGAGGGGAACACCCCUAGCUGGCACAGGGACUUACCCAUUACAACGUAAUGGGAUCCUAUGUGGGCGAUAAUGACCCGAUAUAAUUAUCCUAAAUAUAUAUCGAAAGCGGAUAAAAGCUACCGCAGGGAUAACAGCGUAAUAUUGUCGGAGAGUUCUUAUCG